AGGCACUUUUCUUAUGCCAGGGGUCUUCAACGUUUUUAGGCCAGAGACCCCUUAGCUCAAAGAGAGCCCGAGUAGGGACGCCCUACUGCAUAUAUUGUAAACAAUGG